rnacentral:rRNA from 1 species
GACGAACGCUGGCGGCGUGCUUAACACAUGCAAGUCGAACGGAAAGGCCCUGCUUUUGUGGGGUGCUCGAGUGGCGAACGGGUGAGUAACACGUGAGUAACCUGCCCUUGACUUUGGGAUAACUUCAGGAAACUGGGGCUAAUACCGGAUAGGAGCUCCUGCUGCAUGGUGGGGGUUGGAAAGUUUCGGCGGUUGGGGAUGGACUCGCGGCUUAUCAGCUUGUUGGUGGGGUAGUGGCUUACCAAGGCUUUGACGGGUAGCCGGCCUGCGGGGGUGACCGGCCACAUUGGGACUAAGGUACGGCCCAGACUCCUACGGGAGGCAGCAGUGGGGAAUAUUGCACAAUGGGCGGAAGCCUGAUGCAGCAACGCCGCGUGCGGGAUGACGGCCUUCGGGUUGUAAACCGCUUUCGCCUGUGACGAAGCGUGAGUGACGGUAAUGAGUAAAGAAGCACCGGCUAACUACGUG